rnacentral:tRNA from 1 species
GAAAAUCCGUCGACUUUCUAAAUCGUGA